UACAGAGGGUGCAAGCGUUAAUCGGAAUUACUGGGCGUAAAGCGUGCGUAGACGGUUAUGUAAGUCGGGUGUGAAAGCCCCGGGCUCAACCUGGGAAUUGCAUUCGAGACUGAAUAGCUAGGGUACGGUAGAGGGAAGUGGAAUUUCCGGUGUAGCGGUGAAAUGCGUAGAUAUCGGAAGGAACAUCAGUGGCGAAAGCGACUUCCUGGACCAGUACCGACGUUCAGGCACGAAAGCGUGGGGAGCAAACAGG
rnacentral:rRNA from 1 species